rnacentral:rRNA from 1 species
GACGAACGCUGGCGGCGUGCUUAAUACAUGCAAGUCGAGCGGAAGUUGAAGAGCUUGCUCUUCAACUUUAGCGGCGGACGGGUGAGUAACACGUGGGCAACCUGCCCUGCAGAUCGGGAUAACUCCGGGAAACCGGUGCUAAUACCGAAUAGUUUUCGCCACCUCCUGGUGGCGUACGGAAAGACGGUUUCGGCUGUCACUGCAGGAUGGGCCCGCGGCGCAUUAGCUAGUUGGUGGGGUAACGGCCCACCAAGGCGACGAUGCGUAGCCGACCUGAGAGGGUGAUCGGCCACGCUGGGACUGAGACACGGCCCAGACUCCUACGGGAGGCAGCAGUAGGGAAUCUUCCGCAAUGGACGAAAGUCUGACGGAGCAACGCCGCGUGAGUGACGAAGGUUUUCGGAUCGUAAAACUCUGUUGUGAGGGAAGAACAAGUACCAACUAACUACUGGUACCUUGACGGUACCUCACCAGAAAGCCACGGCUAACUACGUGCCAGCCGCCGCAGUAAAAC